AUCACAUAGCGUUCAUUUCCCUAAGGGAGGAGAAAAAAUUAAAUUUGUAAGCUUAAGAUUCCAGCUGAAGUACUCAAGAAUCCUGUUUCUCUGACAGAGGAAAGGAACAACAACUUGACUGGACACAUCCUAACCCAACCAUACGCUGUGUUACUUCCUCCACUGCGCCACACACAGCUAUUAUUCUAAGCUCUCUUAUUCAAACCCUUAAGGAUUUGUAAGGAGAACACUAAGAAGAUGGGCAGAAAUCAAAGCUUCCUGGUGUGAGGUUGUGGUAGAAGAUUCCUGGUUGAUCAAUGUAUAGAAGAUGGAAAUGGAUUCCAGUUGUGGGAAGGAAGAAAUCAUUGCUGCAGUCUCAGUCUGCUCUGCAGGAAUAGACCAUCUGAGGACACAGCACGAAGGUGGCCAUCUGCAAUUCAAGGAGAGAAGCCUCGGGAGAAAAUAAACCUGCCGGCACCUUGAUCUUGGACUUUUAGUUUCCAGAGCUGUGAGAAAAUAAAUGUUUGUUGUUUAAGCCACCCAGUCCGUGGUAUUUUGUUAUGGCAAACCUAGCAGACUAAUACAGAGAAGGAUGAAAAAUGAAGAACAUUUUUUUUUUGGAGCCUAUUACAACAGAUGAAAAUUCAUGCCCUCUUACACCCUAAGUUUCAGAGUAGGGAAAUAAAUACUACAUGUAAUGAAGACAGCAAAUUAUACAAUAUAUGAGAAGGUAAUAAAUGCUGUGGAAGAAACUCGAAGGUUAUAUUGAACUAGGAGAUCAGCAGUGCUGGGGACAGAGGGUUACAGGUUUUGGUACCAGACAGGAAGAGCAGGGAGGCAUCAUUGAGAAGGUACCAACUGUGUACUCAGAAGAGAGGAGGCAGCUGGUUAUGAGGUCAUCUGGGGGACAGCACGACAGGUAGAGACAGGAAAAGUAUAAAGGCUCUGAGGUGGAACCUGAGGGUUGGAGGCACAGCAGGAAGCCAAGAUAGCUGGCAUUCACCAUAAGAAUGGUAGAAAGGAGUCUGAGGCAAGAUACAGGCCAGCCUGCAUGGGGCCUUGUAGACCGAGUAAAUACCUCGGAUGUUGCAAGGACUUUUCUGCCUUGCACGUUCUCCUUUCUCAAAAUCUGUUCCUUCUGUUUGUUCUACAAAUUCCUAGUUUCUGAAAACCAGCUACUGAUCUGGUCUAAUUUUCUCUUUUUAUCAUAGGGUAAAAGAUACUUGAAUAAUAUUCCACAUAUCACUACACUCAGAUUCUACUCUUGAUUCUGAAGUUUUUGUUUGUUUGCUUUUUACUAACAUCAUCUUCUCCCUCAACUACCUAAUCUUUGGCUUUCCUAAAUUGGGAAAAUUAAUAUGACAUAAGUUUCUUCAUCAGAUAUAUCCUCAAAAUGAUGGUUAACUGAGCCAAGGUCAUAUUGGAAAAGGGUUUGAAAUGAGAACAUAUGGACA
rnacentral:lncRNA from 1 species